GCGGAAAUAGCUCAGUUGGUAGAGCACAACCUUGCCAAUGUUGGGGUCGCGAGUUCGAGUCUCGUUUUCCGCU
rnacentral:tRNA from 1 species